CCCUUCGAUGUUCUGGGCCGCACGCGCGCUACACUGAUGCAUUCAACGAGUUUCUUCCUGGUCCGAGAGGAAUGGGUAACCUUUUGAAAGUGCAUCGUGAUAGGGAUAGACUAUUGCAAUUAUUGGUCUUCAACGAGGAAUUCCUAGUAGACGUAGUUCAUCAGACUGCAUCGAUUACGUCCCUGCCCUUUGUACACACCGCCCGUCGCUCCUACCGAUUGAAUGCUCAGGUGAGCCAUUCGGACUUUCAUCAUGCUGGUUUCCAGUUUUGAUGAAGGAAAGUCUUGCGAACCUUAUCAUUUAGAGGAAGGAGAAGUCGUAACA
rnacentral:rRNA from 1 species